rnacentral:misc_RNA from 1 species
GCCGUUCCUUUUCAUUCGUUUCCUGCAAACUCUAAAGUGAGCCAGGGGUGCGUAGGAUUAGUAGGUGGAGGAGGAGGUGGUGUGGUGGAGGAAUCAUAGUUAGGCGUACACGUGGACGGUGAGAGAUGAUGAGCGCGGAGGUGGUGGCAGUGAGGUGGGGCACAUGGGAGCAAUUAUUGUUGGGUGGAGCCGUGGUCCGGCAUGGUACCCGAGAUUGGGAUUUGGUUGCCGCUGAGCUUCGAGCCCGAACCGUUUGCCCGUA